GUUUUCUGUCAUCUCACUUCGGAUUUGAGUGGGUAUGUUUGUUCAAAACCUUUAUGUUUUGUCUCAUAAUGGCGUUUCACAUUGCCACUUUUAAUAAGUGCCACGGUUUCUGAACAUAUAAGACACACUGGUUUUGUGCUCCCUGUGGGAAGUAUGAACAGAAAUGAGUCUGUCCAUUCCGGAUUAAAUGCUCUAUUUUCGCUGUCAACUUUUCUUUUUUUGGAGAGCGACAUUUGUUCUUUAUGUUUCUCUCCCUUUCUCUGUCUCACUCGCCUUUUCAUCAACUUUCUCCGGCGCAGUCGUCCGUUUCUCUCCCUUUGUUUUCUAAAUGUGUCGCUAUGUUUCUUUUUCUUUAACUUUCUCAUCUCUCAGUGCGGCCGCAGCGCUGUCUUGAGACGUAAUGUUUACCGCCGAGAAUGCAUAGAUUUGAUUGGCUAAGUGGUAUCACGUGGGAUGGCUUAACUCGCAUGCAAUUGGUCUGUGCGUUUCCUCAUCCGCUAAACCACUACCGUAAAUACUGCAAAAGCCGCGCCGUGCCGCCGGGUAAAAAAAAUAAAAACGCCGUCAGGUUUUAAAUCACAAGCUUCUGUUUUGGCUGGCGGUCCGGAUGGGACGGCCUCUGGGUCCGGACCCGGACCGCGGUCCACCAGUUAGUGACUUAUGGACUAGACUGAUCUCUGGUGGGGACGAGUCCGCCUACAGGUGGGAGUCUGACCAUCUGGUGUCGUGGUGCAGCCAGAACAACCUGGAGCUCAACGCUCUGAAGACAGUGGAGAUGGUUGUGGAUUUCCGGCGGAACAGAGCCCCACCCUCCCCCAUCACCCUGUGUGACUCCCCCGUCACUAUUGUGGAUUCCUUCCGUUUCCUGGGCUCCAUCAUCACCCAGGACCUCAAGUGGGAGCUGAACAUCAGCUCCAUCACCAAGAAGGCUCAGCAGAGGUUGUUCUUCCUGAGGCAGCUGAAGAAAUUCAACCUGCCAAAGAUGAUGAUGAUCCACUUCUACACGGCCAUCAUGGAGUCCAUCCUCUGCUCCUCCAUCACCGUCUCGUACGCUGCAGCCACAGCCAAGGCCGUCACUUUUGUCACUUCCUGUUCGCUAGUGCACUUUAUUUUUACACUUUUAACUUAACUUUGUUAUUUUAUUUUAAACUAACCCAUAGCCUUAUUCUACUAACCCUUAUUUUAUUGUAUUACUCGUGCACUGCUGUCUUGUCGUCUAUUGUCAUACUGUCUACUGUCACGCACCAACCGCCAAGUCAAAUUCCUUGUAUGUCUGACAUAUUUUGGCAAUACAUUACAUUACAUGUCAUUUAGAUGACGCUUUUAUCCAAAGCGACGUACAAUAAGUGCAUUCAACCACAGGAUACAAACUCAGAAGAACAAGAAAGUGCAAUUUCCUCAAAUAAGCCAAUUUACAACUUGCUAUAGAUUAGUGACGUUAUAUAUACAAUUUAAGUGCUACAAUUUGUUAGUCUUUUAGUCGCGGUAGAGUCUGAAGAGGUGUGUCUAGUUUGCGGCGGAAGAUGUGAAGGUUCUCUGCGGUCCUGGUGUCUUCAGAGAGCUCGUUCCACCAUUGCGGAGCAGGACAGCGAAGAGUCGAGAUCUAGUCGAGUGUUUUGCUCUCAGUGAGAGCAGUGCUCUCAAUACAUGUUUCCUGAUUUCACAUAUCAUCAGAGGUGUCAAGUAACGAAGUACAAAUACUUCGUUACUGUACUUAAGUAGAAAUUUUGGGUAUCUAUACUUUACUGGAGUAUUUCUUUUUCAGACGACUUUUUACUUCUACUCCUUACAUUUUCACGCAAAUAUCUGUACUUUCUACUCCUUACAUUUUAAUAACAAAGUAACUAUAGCCUCGUUACUUCCGGCUUGUCGUAGUUCAAAAACACAAAGACAAAAAACCCAUCUAGAUAAAUGUCGCUAUGCGGACAGAGUGCUUGUGAUUGUGGUUGGAUGAGAAGUAUAAACAUUUAGCAUCCAGACACCCGAUUGGUUUUCUCCGCGAUGCGCCGGCAGAUCGGAGCGACACCGGGUGGGAAAAGUGGUCUUUGGAAAGUUGGUAUUUAGCGACAUGGAGCCUCCUCCUCUUCCUCACGCAGAUUCCACGUAACGUUAAGUUACGUUGAGUAUCUUCAUGACCGUGGGUUUGUCCUAAAUGUUUUAUUGAGAGUCUGGCACAACACAGCGACUUGCAAGCAGCGUAUUAAAUAAAGUGAUGUGUGUCUUAAUGCGGCUUGAGAAAUGAACACAAAGGGAUUCUGUAUUUGCUCUUGAAGCCUGAAAAUACUGAUAACCGGCCGCUGCCAGUUCAGUGUUUCCCAUCAUUAUAAACAGGGGUGCGCCCCCCAUGACGUAGUAAACCUGGGGGAGACACUGCAGUCUACCGAAUCAAUGCGAGCAAUGUGUGUGUGAUUCGUGUCACUGGGAAAUGGGUUGUGGUUUUAUCGGUUUAAGUUAAUUAGAUACAUUUGUUGUUUUGUUGUUGUGUCUUUGAAUAUCGCCAUGUUUCCACCAUCCCAACGGCAGGUCACGUGAUCUGCAGGCACCUUCUGAUCACAUGGUGACGGACUGACGUGUUGUGUGAGCGAGGUUACACAUUAAGAGUUUGUCCUUAAUGGAAUUUCUUACAUUACUUUUACUUUUAUACUUUUAAGUAGUUUUGAAACCAGUACUUUUAUACUUUUACUUAAGUAAAAAGCUUGAGUCGAUACUUCAACUUCUACAGGAGUCUUUUUAAACCCUAAUAUCUGUACUUCUACUUGAGUAAUGAAUGUGAAUACUUUUGACACCUCUGCAUAUCAUUACAUCCAGUGCUGUAGUGGUAAAAUGGUGGGUAAGAGGUGGGUAAACUCUGAAUUUUGUGAUCAUACAACGCGAUGCGAAGCAACGCAACACAAAGCGUCGCGACUCUUGUAAGGCUGUCCUGGCUAUAUUGCAGAAUUUUAUCAGUAAAAGUCAUAUACAAUCAAUGACAAUGAAUACAUGUGUUAGUAGUUUGUAGUUUAUUAAAUUUAAGAAAACAGUAAAGAAAAGUAUGUCAACACAACAAGACAAUUGCAGAUUAAGAACUAUCUACAUACGGAGUCUCCUUUUCACAGUAGUGCCCAGAGGGGCUCCUUGUCCUCCACGUCAGGUCCUGCCUUGCACAGAGGAGCCAUGAACCCCAGAACACGUGUUCUGGGGUUCAUGGCUCCUCUGUGCUUCUCUCUCUAUUGGACCUGGUGUUUCUCUCCCUGUGCUCUCUGCAUCAUUGCCUGUCCUCUCACUGCCUGAACAAAUAUGUUGAAUUUAAGAGUUAACCAGUUAAGCAGCCUGUCAAUUACACUGACAACAUAAGUUAAAGGAACACUCAUGUACUACCUAUGUCAUCAGAAAUAGCCUAUACAGCAGGGGUUUUUUAACAUUGAGAACAGACUUGUUUUGUAAUCUACGCGUCACCAGGCGUUUUUCUUGUCCUUUUACCGUGCACGACCAGCGAACACAGAACCCCGUCGGUCGUUCCGCCCGCAACGACGACUACACCCCUCCCCCCGUCGGACCUUCUCGACCGAUCCGCGAAAUAUUGUCUGACAUGAAACCGGUCCGUGAGGUAAGAAAGGUCGGGGACCACUGGGCUGAUCCACAGCGUGUGUUUACACACCUCCUGGAUCCUGAUUGGUCGCUGCUGCAGCUGCAAGGCACUGAUUGGAUGCUCACAGACCGUAAUACAGCGCAGAUGAACAUGAUUCAGACUACGCCGUUUAUAUGUUCAACAAUAGGAAACGUAGUCUUAGCUGUUUUAAAAUUACACCAAGUUUAUUUCGGAUUAUUCCAACGGAAGAAUACAAGGCGCAGGGAACUUUGAGGUGCGUAAACGCUAUUUAUAGGUCCGUAAACGCUAUUUCCAAAAUUCCAGAGGUGCGUAAACGGCGUUUACGUGCGUUUACCCUCCACUACAGCCCUGAUUACAUCCCCCUGGAUAUACAUUUUUAUAUUCAUGAACAAGCUAUUCUUUUUAACACCUUAAAUCUGUAACUUUCACAUAUCAUUACAAGCACCACCGUAGAGAUCGUAUGGGAAUGAUGUCCCCGACUAAGGAGAGCCAAGAUGAGCCUCCAACAUUAUCAUCAGGGGCCGCUUAUAGGUCCAGGCUGCCCAGGAUAAUGGCAACAAGGAUUCUCGGCAGGAAAAGUUUGAGCCCUGUAUGCAGUUAUCCUCAUUUCCUGUCCUGAUAGUUUAUAGGAAAAGGCUAUGCUUCAAAGUAACAAUAGUAAACACGAAAGUUUAUCAAACCUAACAUUCAUUCCUCGUCCGCCUGUCCACAUAAAUGGGGAAAAUAAAGCUUUAAACACAUUAAACUCUGAUGAAAGAAUGUUUAUUAAUAGUAAUCAUGGUAGUAAUAACUGCAAUAAUAACAAUUGGGAUAUUAAUCAUGUAAAAAUAAUGUAAUGAAUAGUAUCGUUUAGUUGGAGCACAUUGGAAGCAGAAAAGUUGUGUUUAUUAGUUUUCCUUUUUUUCUCUUAACUCUACAUAUACGUUACCAUUCAGUUGGACACACUUUCUCAUUGAAUUGAAGAAAAUGUGUCCGAUCUUUUAAAUGGUACUAUAAAUAUAUAUAUUAGUGCCGGGCAGAGAUUUCAAUUUUUAUUCGCAGUCAAUUGCAUAAUUGACUGUAUCCCCUGUAUUCCCUUUACACUGUAGCAGUUCAAAUAUAUCUUGUAAAUCUCAAUCGAAAAAGGAAUUCAAUCAAAUCAAAUAUAAAAAUCUGCCACUGCCAGCGCAUUACCCUUUGAUCUAGUCUGUUAUAGCAAAACAGGUUACAUUAUAACUGGCACCUUCCCAUCAACAGUGAACAAAUAACUUGGUUCUAUCAGCUGCACCUUCUUCACGUUUAAAAUGAGAAGAGGUUGGUACCUUCUUCCAGUUCUGUUCUCUUUGGGUACCUGUGAGCGAUAAGAGCAGUGUUGCUGUGUUCACACCAAACGCCCUUUUUUCCCCUCUGCCAUCAACAAUGAAAGAUAUAACAACUAUGUACUUGUUGGGGAGAUUUUACUAACGUCAGACCACCAAAUGCUCUCGUCCCAUGUGGGUACAACAUCCGUAGGGGCAGACAGUUUGGUGAAUUUCACCGACUUCAACAGGAACUGCGUCUAGGUGAUUGCUGCUUCCAGUGGUACAUAAUGCUAGCCGUUAGCUCGUUUGAUGGCUCUUUGUCUCGGAUCGGUGACUGCUGAGGAAACUGUCCUAUGGCAACACACCGUGUAAUGCUCAGGCGCAUCCAAAUGGCUCUUUUAAGAGCUAGACACGUUAUUAUUGAGCAAAUGUCCUGCAAUAUUAGAAAAGAGAGAAAGUAUCCUUCAUUGAUCCCCUUGGGGAAACUGUUCUCUGCAUUUGACCCGUCCCACACAGUGAGAGCAGUGUGCUGCCAGUAAAGGCGCCCGGGGAGCAGUUAGAGGUUAGGUGUCUUGCUCAAGGACACUUUGAAUCAGGACAUGGAGCAGCCGAGGCUCGAACCACCAACCUUUCAGUUACCAGCGCACCUUCUCUACUCCACGCGCCAUGGUCGCCCCAAUUAAUGUUUAGUAGCAGUGUGUCCUAUGUGUGUGUUCACUGCAGUGUUGGGAUGUUGUAAAAAAGGCACAUAUGGUUGUAUCCCGUUUGUUAAGUUUUCUUUUAAAACUCCAAUAAACAUGGACGAAGUAACAUUUAUUAAAAUGACAUCCUUCAUUUUUUCUGAUUUGGCAACUGCGCAGGACGUCAGUGACGGGUGGGAGGAUCUCAACGCUGAUAGGCUAUCGCGCCGCAGCGUCACGCCAUUAUGUUGUCUGAACUCAUGAGGUCGGUUGACGCGCCUCUCCAGUCUAAUCGCGUCUGUGCAUAGAUUGGAUAUGAAAUCCUGUGGCGAGAAUAAUUCACGUCACGUUUGGUGUGGACUCAGCAUUAAAUGCCCCAAUUUGUUGAGAUGUUCGAUGAUGCCCCUCCCAAACCAACACUGAUCAACAUUACAACCUCUGAUGAGUUUGUAUGGGUGUUCACAAGUUUAAUAAAUGCGUUAACCAAUAAUCCACCAAUAAUUGUUGGCAUUAAGGAAUAACUGUAAAUAAAUAACGUGCCCAGCACUAAUAUACAUAUAACUAUAUGUGUGUGUGUAUAUAUAUAUAUAUGUGUGUGUGUGUGUGUGUGUGUGUGUGUGUGUGUGUGUGUGUGUGUGUGUGUGUAUGUAUGUAUGUGUGUAUAUAUAUAUAUAUAUAUACGUAUGUAUGUAUGUGUGUAUAUAUAUAUAU
ensembl:lncRNA